rnacentral:lncRNA from 1 species
CCGCGAUGGUUUACGCUUUCAAAACAAGAAAACGCAUUCCACGUAUACGCUUUGGACCGCGGGUUCAAAAAGCAAAAACAGGGAGGGCUCUUUAACAAAAUCUACCCCGAAGGGGUAUCUUCUAAUCUCAGCCGUAGGCCUGAGAUCUGACGGUGGAGGGCGAUCCAGGGCGCUGGGUGGUGGCCGGCGGCGAUCUCCCGCGGUGGGGCGCCAUGGCCGACGUCACGAGCUCGCCGGAGUUCAUAGAAAAACGCGCUACGGUCCACUAUUCACUAAACCGAUAGCAUGGGGAGACAGAGGGGGUCAACGCGAGCUUACCAAGAGGAUUUUGGAGACCCGGGGAAGGCUCGGAUGUGGUCGGCCACGUGAGCUAGCGGACGACGGGGCUCUGCACACGUUCGGCGGUGUUUAGGAAAACCCAGAGAUCGUGAGACGGAGGGAAAAGUGCACCUACGGCUUCGUGAUUCUGUCGCGGUGCUCGGCAAGCGCUCAAUUGCGACGGAAACGCGGCGACCAACGAGAACCUCGGCGGCGGCCAAGUUGAGCUCGGCGAGAUCCGAAAACAAGAUUGGCAACAGAUUGGGGCUCUUCUAGAUGGGGAAAAGAGUGCGGGGGAGAUCCUCGGGCUGAAAAAGGACUCGAUUCAACGAAAUUUGGUAAGAAAUCCCGAAAAGAUCGGGUUGGGGCGCUGCCUUCGUCUGGGACCAGAGUCCGGCUCGCCCACGCUCAAGGAAGAAGAAGGGAGAGGGCGCUGCCAGGUGGGCCGGAUCCGUCAGUGUCUGGAAGUGGAGGGGGAACACCGACGGGCGGGGCCCGGUCGACAGUGGAAAGAAGAGAAGGGGAGGGCGCGGGUGUACUGGGCCGUGCUGCUGUUGCCCUGCUGGGCCGUGGGGAAAGAAAUCGGCCAGGGGAAAAAGGAAAAAGGGAGUGGCGCGUUGGGUUGGGCCGAGGCCGAGGGAAGGGAGGGGCCAGGCCUUAGGGCCAAAGAUGGAGAGGGGAAAGGUUUUUUUUUUUUUCCUUUUUCUUUUGUUUGUUUCCUUUUUGUUUCUCUUUUUUUUUUAUUUCAAAGUCUUUUCAAGGCAGUUUCAAAACAAUUCAAAAAUAUUUUGACUUUGCUCAAAAUCACACAAUAAAAUGAAAAUAAAUGCUCCAACAUGAAUGCUCAAACAAGUUGCUAAAUCCUAUAAUAAAUUUUAUUUUAAUGAAAAUAUUAUUUUUCCUAUGUUUCAUAAGCUCAAAAAAAAAAAUUCAUAAUUAAAUCAUUUUCACCUAUUUCAAAAAGGAGUCAAUUUUAGGGUGUUACAAAUCUACCCCCCUUAAAAUGAAUCUCGUCCUCGAGAUUCGGAAGAGGCACGGAUCCUUUGAGAGAACAGAGGAUAAAGAUCUUGAUAACUCUUUCAAUUUCACAACUUGUAUACCAAGGCAAACUCAAAUAUUCCAUGGAAUGUAUAUUAUUCAUAAUUGAUCAAAGUCCAUCUUGACUACUCACUUUUUUUUUUUGACUUAUACACUCAAAGAUAUGAUAACUUAGCAUGGAUAUGCCUCCUCAGGUAGGAGUGGACCACUUUGAUACUCAAUUCUUUUCCCUGAUGGUGCAGUUAAGAAUAUUUUCCACUGGGUAGCAUAGAUCACUGCCCUGUGUGCACAUAACCAUCCAUUGCCAAGAACCAAAGGAAUAUUGAGUGACUCUAGCACAAUGAGGUUUACAGUGAAGUUUUCCUUCUUUAUGACAAGAUUGAUAUUUGAGCAAACCUGAUCUGCCUGCAUUUCUCCCAUUGGGGUUUGAACUAACAAAGGCUUUCUCGUCGGACACUUCAUCCGUUCGAUUGUCUUUACCAAGUCAGCGGAAAUAAAAGAAUGUGAAGCACUUCGGUCAAACAGAGCAAAAACUAGUACUGAGUCCACUUGAAUAUAGCCUCCCACCACUUUGGUGGCUCCUUGAAUGUUAUGCAUAUCCACAUUGUUCAGUCUUCCAUUGAUAUAAUUUCGCUGUACUUUAUUUCCGAGAGCAGGCUUCUUACGAGCUUUCCUUCUACGCUUCCGUCGUUGUGGAUUUUGAUUUGAUUCGUUGUCAACUUGCUCUUCCAUAUUGUUAUUUUGAUAACACUCAGCUUUGUCAUACUCAUAGCAUCUUUCUUCAAAAUCAAGAUGAUCAUAUUCUUCCCACCUAUCCAUGAGAGGUGUCAUAUUGUGCUCCGGAUUCAUGGGACACUACACUCCCUGUCAUCAAGUGACCAACGUCAGUAACACGGUAAGGAUAGAUGAUCAUAACCAUAGAAUAUCUUAGAAGACAAUUAUCACUCCAAGCUAGUCUUAUAAUGCAUCACCCUCGAUAUCAAGGUACUACCCCCCUUAAAAAUUGGGUUGAUUGGGGACACUAGGGACUAGUUCUCCUAUCCUUUUUGGACGCCACACAUCAUAGUCUUUUACAUUCGUGGUACCGAGUCUCUUGUUCCAACAUUAUCCAAUUCUUCUCCAUAUAACCCCUUUAUUUAGGCUACCCCCCUUAAUAAAGGUCAUCUAGGGGACACAAGAAAGGUAGCUAGCAUGUUUUCCCGACAAGUUAACUAACAUUGAGAACUUAUGACAUCCCAAAGAGCUUUUGUGCAAGAGACAAACAUGUAUCCUGAAAUUUUUCCGCGAUAUGAAAAACACCAGCAUAGAAAAACAGGUAUAACUCCCAUUCUGUUAAUCCAAUAGAGUUGUAGUUUAUACCGUUAGAAAGAUUAUGAAAUUCCCUACAACUUUCCUGUAGAAGACGUCCUUAGGUUCUGUAUUUAGGCUCAGGUAAAACAGCCAAACAUAAUAUCCUUCCUGAUAAUAUCCCAGCAAGGAUGCAGUAAAUUCCAGAAAUUAUAUCUCGAGCUCCUUAACUCAUCUGGAGAUGAUCCUUAUAUUGUUGAAAAGCUUAUGAAAUCCUCUACAACUUUCGUAUACAACUCUUUCCCAGAUUCUGAAGUUAAUUCAGCCGAAAUUAGGAAAUUCCAGAUCUGUCCAGAUUUUGAAACAGAAAAGAAACAUCCAAGUUUAAAUGUCAUAUCUCAGGUUCUACUUGUCCAAUAAUGUUCCAGCUUAUACCGCUGGAAAACUUAGCAAAUUGUCUAAUACUUUUCUAUAGAACACUUUUCCAAAUUCUAUAGUUAUAUAUGUCCAAACAGUAAGCAACCGAAACUGGUCCAGAUUCUUGACAGCACAGUUGUAUCCUGUUGUGAUUUUUGUAACUUCCAAACCAUAACAGCUAUGAGGGUGAUUCUUGUGGUCAGAGAAAGAUCUUGGAGUCUAGUUGUUUCCAGAAAAGUUUAGUAAACUUUGCACGACCAGAUCUUGAUAUACACUAUGAUUAUUGCAGACUGCUCCAGAAAUCAGCAAAAGACAGAAACAGGAUAUAACCAAACCCAACUAUUUAUGUCAUUACUCCGUAUGCCUUAGUUCUAUAAACUAAAUGAAAUUGUGAAGAACUUCACAAAAUCAUUACACUCAUUACAAAGAUCCAAAUCAAACAUAAACAUAAUAACAAGCAAUUAAGCAUUAAAGGUUCACAAGGCACACAAACUCAACUUUCGCUACUAGCGUUUUUAUUACACCAGGGGACACGGACACCUAUAUCUUAGACUUAGUGUGGUUAUCUUCACGAUGCAUCUGUUGCUUCUUUUGUGGACAAGAGCUCAUAUAAUGUCCUUCUUGUUGGCAGUGAUAACACCUUCUCUUAGCUGGUUCCUCUGUGAUGUUAUUUUCCACUGAAGUGUUGUUCGGUGUGUUAUCAACUUGCAUACUCUGAUGGUUUAUCUUUGCCUGGUUAGAUUUCUUUCUACAUUGCUUGAUCCUCCGAGGUUGAAACUCUCUAUAAGUAAUUGUCCACCCAUCUAUGCAUACCUCAUGAGCGGUGGGAUUAGCUUGGGGAAUUUGUUCAUCUCCAAGGUUUGAGUUUUCCUGACGAGAAUUUGAAGCUACAUGUGACAUCUUGGGAUUUGGGUGUUGAUCACUUCCCAAUCUCGGCUCUAGUGCUUUUGCCUUCCUCUUCUUAUCCUCAUUAGUCACACAGGUUGGUUUUGUCUUAACUUCCUUCUUAGAUGACAUAUUCCGAAGACAAGGAAGACCAUAAUGCUCACAACAGUGGCAUUGAUUCUGAUAUCCUGAUGUAUUACUCCCAACGCUUCCAUGAUUUCUCAUAUUUUUCCAAGCUUCUGCUACUUGUCUCCUCACGGGUCCUGAGAUACGUUGUUGAGAGUUCUUAUUCUGAGUUAUUCCUUCCACUACUUGUGUUUGCAUGGCUAGAAGCUUCUCCAUGUCGAAUGCUUUUACGGUUGGAAAAUCUGGGUGCUUUCGUUCCUUCUUGUCAAAGGUCUCCUCGUUAUGAUCCAUCUAAAGAGACAAAGAGAGAGGAUUUAGAAUAGAGACAAGAUUUUAUAAAAGAACUAGGCAAGAGGUAAGCAUAACUUUUAGCAACUAUCAAGGUCAAGGCGAAAAGCAAGAAGUAAGCAAAGAUGGAAGCAUGCCAAAACGUCCAGUUCUAACUAGGCUUGCGUCCUACAGUCAGCAUUGCUCCGAUACCACUUUGUAAUACCCGAUUUUAAGGACAAAACCAGAUAUACACUAUAUAUGAGUUUUAGAAGUCAAUUCUCAUAUAUAGCUACAAAUAAGGGGUAAUAUCAAAAGACAAUGCAUAAAUUAUAUAACGUACUUAGUAUAAAAGAGAUAACCUUAAGGAGCAAACAACGGAAGAUAACUCCAAACUUCGGGUAUUAACUUCACUCUACAGGAUCCAACUGACUGGUUGACCACAAGCCCAAAACUUCUCCUGAGGUUUGGGGGAAAUGGCAAGAGUGAGUCCAUGUCGAACUCCACAAGUAUAGCAGCUAGAUUUUAUAGCUCUCACAAUCUCAUGAUCAAUAUGACAUAAAUAAUGUAAAGCAUUAAAUAAUAAAUAAUGAGCAUAUUUAACACAUAGGAAUCAUUAUCGUCGCAGCAAGAAUCCCCAAGGCCGCUCCUGACCGUGAGCUCGGCUAGUAUACUAGUUUUUAACCCUCUGCAGAGGUUGCACAUCUUUACCCAUGAGUCAUGAUUUACCCUUUCGCCCGAGGUAGCUAGUCUCUUAACCCCCUUCCUAGGGAGGUCGGCAGGGAUCACUAUGAAGUCUUUCAAAGGUUCGUCUAACAAGUUAGGGCCGCUUGGUUUCAUUAGUCAGUCCGUGUGAUUCACCCGCAGGAAUCCACGGUCUGCUAUUCCCCAACUGCGCCACAACGGGUAACCGCUAACGAGCUAGAAAAGUUACUCAUACUUAACUAAAGCCAGAGCCAUUAUAGCCCUCAUGGUUGCACUGUUGUCCCGGUUAUCACUUACAGAUAAAUCAUCAAGUGGCUAAAGAGUCAUCUUUAUCAUUUAUUACUUAACAUUAAUCUAGUCACAGGAUCAUGGUCACAGAAAUAAAAUCCAAAUGCUAUACUUGCCUUAAUCCAAAUGCUCUUGCUUAUCCUUUUGUUUCUGCUGGUCUCUCUUGUCCAAGGCUCUGAUCUUGACCACCGAAAACUGCUCUCCGACUAAACUCGAUCAUCGAUCACACAAACAAUCGGAGACAAACAUACACGAAGCAAACAAGUCUACUAUUAGAACAGUACACCAAUCAUAUAAAAACAGUAUGAAAAGUUUACAAAAUGAUUCUACGCAUCGCUACGAUUUCAUAGACGUAAAGAUCACGAAAAUCGGAAUUAAAACGGUGAAGUUAUGAAUUUUCUAAGAUUUCCUAUAGAUAAAUAAUUAAUUAAAUAGGACCACGAAAUUAAAAGUUUCAAACUGAGUAAACAAUUUUACUAACAUGUAGAGCUCAUUAAAACGAACCUAACGCAAUUUGAAUGGGUCAAAUCGGAGUUGAAAUGAACGUUUUAUGGCCUAUAGAAACUCAGUGGCAAUUUAGUAAUUACUGAAAACGUAUUCUGAGCUAAGCCGCGAUGGUUUACGCUUUCAAAACAAGAAAACGCAUUCCACGUAUACGCUUUGGACCGCGGGUUCAAAAAGCAAAAACAGGGAGGGCUCUUUAACAAAAUCUACCCCGAAGGGGUAUCUUCUAAUCUCAGCCGUAGGCCUGAGAUCUGACGGUGGAGGGCGAUCCAGGGCGCUGGGUGGUGGCCGGCGGCGAUCUCCCGCGGUGGGGCGCCAUGGCCGACGUCACGAGCUCGCCGGAGUUCAUAGAAAAACGCGCUACGGUCCACUAUUCACUAAACCGAUAGCAUGGGGAGACAGAGGGGGUCAACGCGAGCUUACCAAGAGGAUUUUGGAGACCCGGGGAAGGCUCGGAUGUGGUCGGCCACGUGAGCUAGCGGACGACGGGGCUCUGCACACGUUCGGCGGUGUUUAGGAAAACCCAGAGAUCGUGAGACGGAGGGAAAAGUGCACCUACGGCUUCGUGAUUCUGUCGCGGUGCUCGGCAAGCGCUCAAUUGCGACGGAAACGUGGCGACCAACGAGAACCUCGGCGGCGGCCAAGUUGAGCUCGGCGAGAUCCGAAAACAAGAUUGGCAACAGAUUGGGGCUCUUCUAGAUGGGGAAAAGAGUGCGGGGGAGAUCCUCGGGCUGAAAAAGGACUCGAUUCAACGAAAUUUGGUAAGAAAUCCCGAAAAGAUCGGGUUGGGGCGCUGCCUUCGUCUGGGACCAGAGUCCGGCUCGCCCACGCUCAAGGAAGAAGAAGGGAGAGGGCGCUGCCAGGUGGGCCGGAUCCGUCAGUGUCUGGAAGUGGAGGGGGAACACCGACGGGCGGGGCCCGGUCGACAGUGGAAAGAAGAGAAGGGGAGGGCGCGGGUGUACUGGGCCGUGCUGCUGUUGCCCUGCUGGGCCGUGGGGAAAGAAAUCGGCCAGGGGAAAAAGGAAAAAGGGAGUGGCGCGUUGGGUUGGGCCGAGGCCGAGGGAAGGGAGGGGCCAGGCCUUAGGGCCAAAGAUGGAGAGGGGAAAGGUUUUUUUUUUUUUCCUUUUUCUUUUGUUUGUUUCCUUUUUGUUUCUCUUUUUUUUUUUAUUUCAAAGUCUUUUCAAGGCAGUUUCAAAACAAUUCAAAAAUAUUUUGACUUUGCUCAAAAUCACACAAUAAAAUGAAAAUAAAUGCUCCAACAUGAAUGCUCAAACAAGUUGCUAAAUCCUAUAAUAAAUUUUAUUUUAAUGAAAAUAUUAUUUUUCCUAUGUUUCAUAAGCUCAAAAAAAAAAAUUCAUAAUUAAAUCAUUUUCACCUAUUUCAAAAAGGAGUCAAUUUUAGGGUGUUACACUCUGUACG